UCAAGAAUCGUUCUGGUUGGGCGAAGUUCUCUUGUACGUUAUCCUCUGCGCAUGUUUAAACACCGUUAUAAGCAUACGUUUGUGAGGUAUAUACCCUGCACAAUUAUUCCCUAUACCAUUACGGAUACAACCUUGAGAGGAAUCGCGCAACAUAUUUAGCCUAAUAUCAUCGCAUUGCAGAUCAAAAUUGUCUGCGGCGGGAAAUCAGUUGAGGCCUGCUGAUAACACUGGGACACCUAUGCAAAGCGUAAAGAAAUCAGAAGUGCCGAGUAAUCAGUUGAUGUCUGAUGACAACAAGGAGACGACAAUGCAGAGCGAUUGGGAACAUUUAUCUCCUGAAGUCACACCACAAAACGGUAGUUCUUGCUAUCAUUUGUGUCAUUCGUCAUCCUAACACGAAUUCUCUGGGAGGGGCGAAAUUAGAUGAGUGAAUUAAUUUCAAAUUGGUAAAGACCAUGGGUUUUGUCUACAGGCUGGGACAUUUCCAAGUCAUAUAAGGUUCAACCCAUCGCCUACAAGAUGCUCUAGUCAUCCAGAAUUUCUAUCACCUGAUAAGUCAUGUUUAGAGACAUCAAUUACAAAUCGAAAUGUAGAUAUUUAAUAUGAAUAUGUUGAAUUUAUACAUUAGCUAUCAUUAUGGAACAAUACGUCGUUAACAACAUGAUAGGCUAAUGUUCUCGGGACAAAUACCAUUCACCGGAUUUUUCAGAUUCAUUAACGACCAAACAUAAGGUUACGAAAUAAAAUAUUAUCCAAAGUUCACUUAUAUACCUAGGUCAAUCGGAGUAUAAUUCUAUUUUACUAUUAGUGGAAAGGCGUACCAGCCGCAAAUCAUGAUGGCUGUCGCUUAGGGAAUGUACACAAAUAAAAGUUGAUGCCCCGGAAGCACGGUUUAUCGAUAUGCAUAUGUUAAACGAAGGACCUCUUUUCAUAACGUGAACUUUCUUAACAUUAAGUGUUGAUAUAUACAAUCGAGACAUGCUAUAAACAUUAUAAUACCUAUCAUUUAAAAUGUUUAUAACGUGUCCAGCGCAGUUAUAAUAUCACCGAAUUGGCAUAUAACCUAAAGUACAUUUAUCAUGUGAUGCUAUAAAAUAAAAUCGAACAUAAAGUAAACUUUACUAGCUUUGAAAUAGGAUGUGACUCCUUUGUAAUCUUCAAAGGACAGGUAUCAGCCUAGCAAUUGGUCAGGUUUAUUUUUACCACAGACCAAUCAAAUAGCUAACUUCGUGCCUUCAAUUAUAUUACGACAUAUCCUAGGAGUGCAGAGAGCGUAAGUGAGCGUACCCCGUGCAGUAUCGAUGAUGCAUGACAACAUUCAUUUGGAUAUUUGAGUCUGGUACGUCUCUCCACAGCGGCGGGGAAAAGUGAAAUUAAUCUCCGCAUGUCCUAGGUAUAAUGUGACCGGGUGGAUUACUAUGCUGGGUGCCGUCAGCAUGGUAUUUCAUUGAUAGCAUUAAAAUAGAACACUAUUAAGUAUGAAUCAGAUCCAUGCUAUCGUAAGGAGGCAUUCACACCUACAUACCGCCUCCAGCACACUUACACACACGCAUUACACAUAUGAAGGCACAUCUUUAGAGAGGACAUAAGCUGUUAAAAAGAGGCUUAUCCUUAUCAAAUCAAACCAAUUGCCGAAGGAAAAUUGAAAUUGAACGUUUUCCAUCGGUAACGCUAUAUUUAUGAGUUUUCAUAUUUUGGAGAAGAACUCUAGUAUGUUUUAGUCUUUUUAGUUAAUAUCAGAAAAUGUUAUCUUUGAGAACAAAAAUCAGAGAAAAAAAUAUAUGAUGAGGAGUGAAAAUCAAACAUAAAAUGCAAGUAACUUAUACAUAUGCCCCUGUUUGCAUAGCGAAGUUUAAAGUUAAGGAUUCAUCCUUGUGACAAAUGUAUUAACAUUGUACUAUUUUAUUGUAUUUUUAGUAACUGCAGAUGGUCCUUCCAGCUUUCCUAUGUCAUGUAAGAAAAAAUAAGAAAAUGUUGUGUAACUCGUGUUUUCAUGGACAUAAACGUGGCUCUGUGUCUCGUGGAUCGUGCUACCAAAUCAUCCAGUCUUCCCAGGAAAUGUAUCUAUUUGUUUCCAGGGGUAUUUACAUACGCCAUCAAGUCGUCGUUAGAACGCUUGCUUGGCAUACCCCCAUCCAUCA